rnacentral:rRNA from 1 species
UACGGGGGGAGCAAGCGUUGUUCGGAUUUACUGGGCGUAAAGGGCGCGUAGGCGGUCAGCACAAGUCAGUUGUGAAAUCUCCGGGCCUAACCCGGAAAGGUCAACUGAUACUGUGCGACUAGAGUGCGGAAGGGGCAACUGGAAUUCUCGGUGUAGCGGUGAAAUGCGUAGAUAUCGAGAGGAACACCUGCGGCGAAGGCGGGUUGCUGGGCCGACACUGACGCUGAGGCGCGAAAGCCAGGGGAGCAAACGGG